AGAGUUUGAUCCUGGCUCAGGAUGAACGCUGACAGAAUGCUUAACACAUGCAAGUCAUUGGCGAAGCUGCGCUUGCGCAGUCUAGCCAAGGCGGACGGGUGAGUAACGCGUAAGGAACUUGCCCUGCAGACAGGGAUAACAGACGGAAACGACUGAUAAGACCUGGUAAAGUCAGGCGGACUCAUGUCCAGCCUGAUGAAAAGAGAUGCUGCAGGAGAGCCUUGCGUCCUAUUAGCUUGUUGGUGGGGUAACGGCCCACCAAGGCGAUGAUAGGUAGCCGGCCUGAGAGGGUGGACGGCCACAAGGGGACUGAGAUACGGCCCUUACUCCUACGGGAGGCAGCAGUGGGGAAUAUUGGACAAUGGGGGCAACCCUGAUCCAGCAAUUCUGUGUGCACGAAGAAGGUUUUCGGAUUGUAAAGUGCUUUCAGCAGGGAAGAAGAAAGUGACGGUACCUGCAGAAGAAGCGACGGCUAAAUACGUGCCAGCAGCCGCGGUAAUACGUAUGUCGCAAGCGUUAUCCGGAAUUAUUGGGCAUAAAGGGCAUCUAGGCGGCCAGAUAAGUCUGGGGUGAAAACUUGCGGCUCAACCGCAAGCCUGCCCUGGAAACUAUGUGGCUAGAGUACUGGAGAGGUGGACGGAACUGCACGAGUAGAGGUGAAAUUCGUAGAUAUGUGCAGGAAUGCCGAUGAUGAAGAUAGUUCACUGGACGGUAACUGACGCUGAAGUGCGAAAGCUAGGGGAGCAAACAGGAUUAGAUACCCUGGUAGUCCUAGCUGUAAACGAUGAUUACUGGGUGUGGGCAUGAAGAGUGUCCGUGCCGAAGCUAAUGCGAUAAGUAAUCCGCCUGGGGAGUACGGCCGCAAGGCUGAAACUCAAAGGAAUUGACGGGGACCCGCACAAGCGGUGGAGCAUGU
rnacentral:rRNA from 1 species